CCUACGGGAGGCAGCAGUGAGGAAUAUUGGUCAAUGGGCGCAAGCCUGAACCAGCCAAGUCGCGUGAGGGAUGACGGUCCUAUGGAUUGUAAACCUCUUUUGUCGGGGAGCAAGGCCCGCCACGUGUGGCGGGAAGGAGAGUACCCGAAGAAAAAGCAUCGGCUAACUCCGUGCCAGCAGCCGCGGUAAUACGGAGGAUGCGAGCGUUAUCCGGAUUUAUUGGGUUUAAAGGGUGCGGAGGCGGAAGGUUAAGUCAGCGGUAAAAUGUCGGUGCUCAACACCGGCCUGCCGUUGAAACUGGUCUUCUUGAGUGAGCGAGAAGUAUGCGGAAUGCGUGGGGUAGCGGUGAAAUGCAUAGAUAUCACGCAGAACUCCGAUUGCGAAGGCAGCAUACCGGCGCUCAACUGACGCUGAGGCACGAAAGCGUGGGGAUCGAACAGGAUUAGAUACCCUUGUAGUC
rnacentral:rRNA from 1 species